CCUACGGGGUGCAGCAGUGAGGAAUAUUGGUCAAUGGGCGCGAGCCUGAACCAGCCAAGUCGCGUGAAGGAUGACUGCCCUACGGGUUGUAAACUUCUUUUAUAAAGGAAUAAAGUGAGGCACGUGUGCCUUUUUGUAUGUAAUUUAUGAAUAAGGAUCGGCUAACUCCGUGCCAGCAGCCGCGGUAAUACGGAGGAUCCGAGCGUUAUCCGGAUUUAUUGGGUUUAAAGGGAGCGUAGGUGGGUUGUUAAGUCAGUUGUGAAAGUUUGCGGCUCAACAGCAAAAUUGCAACUGAUACUGGCAGGCUUGAGUACAGUUGAGGUAGGCGGAAUGCGUGGUGUAGCGGUGAAAUGCUUAGAUAUCACGCAGAACUCCGAGUGCGAAGGCAGCUUACUAAACUGCCACUGACAUUGAUGCUCGAAAGUGUGGGUAUCAAACAGGAUUAGAUACCCUUGUAGUC
rnacentral:rRNA from 1 species